AUUGAACGCUGGCGGCAUGCCUUACACAUGCAAGUCGAACGGUAACAGGUCUUCGGAUGCUGACGAGUGGCGAACGGGUGAGUAAUACAUCGGAACGUGCCUAGUAGUGGGGGAUAACUACUCGAAAGAGUGGCUAAUACCGCAUGAGAUCUACGGAUGAAAGCAGGGGAUCGCAAGACCUUGUGCUACUAGAGCGGCCGAUGGCAGAUUAGGUAGUUGGUGGGAUAAAAGCUUACCAAGCCGACGAUCUGUAGCUGGUCUGAGAGGACGAUCAGCCACACUGGGACGGAGACACGGCCCAGACUCCUACGGGAGGCAGCAGUGGGGAAUUUUGGACAAUGGGCGCAAGCCUGAUCCAGCAAUGCGGCGUGCAGGAUGAAGGCCUUCGGGUUGUAAACUGCUUUUGUACGGAACGAAAAGCCCCGGGUUAAUACCCUGGGGUCAUGACGGUACCGUAAGAAUAAGCACCGGCUAACUACGUGCCAGCCGCCGCCGUAA
rnacentral:rRNA from 1 species